AUACGGAGGGUGCAAGCGUUAAUCGGAAUUACUGGGCGUAAAGCGCGCGUAGGCGGAUAUUUAAGUCUCAUGUGAAAGCCCUGGGCUCAACCUGGGAACUGCAUGGGAUACUGGGUAUCUAGAAUACAGUAGAGGGUAGUGGAAUUUCAGGUGUAGCGGUGAAAUGCGUAGAGAUCUGAAGGAACAUCAGUGGCGAAGGCGACUACCUGGAUUGAUAUUGACGCUGAGGUGCGAAAGCGUGGGGAGCAAACGGGAUUAGAAACCCGAGUAGUCC
rnacentral:rRNA from 1 species